rnacentral:rRNA from 1 species
AGCUCCAAUAGCGUAUAUUAAAGUUUUUGCAGUUAAAAAGCUCGUAGUUGAACUUGUGGCCUGGAUGGCUUGGUCUGAUGCUUAUUCGUGAGUACCUGAGCCAUCCGACCAUCCUUGGGUGGAACCUGUGUGGCAUUAAGUUGUCGUGUAGGGGAUGCCCAUCGUUUACUCUGAAAAAAAUAGAGUGUCCAAAGCAGGCUUAUGCCUUUGAAUAUAUUAGCAUGGAAUAAUGAUAUAGGACUUUGGUACUAUUUUGUUGGUUUGUGCACUAAAAUAAUGAUUAAUAGGGACAGUUGGGGAUAUUAGUAUUUUUAGAUCAGAGGUGAAAUUCUUGGAUUCUUUAAAGACUAACAGCUGCGAAAGCAUUUAUCAAGGAUGUUUUCA